GGCCGUGUGGCGUAAUGGCAACGCGUCUGACUACGAUGAGUUAUCAGGAGAUUGCAGGUUCGACCCCUGUCUCGGUCA
rnacentral:tRNA from 1 species